AUACGGAGGAUCCGAGCGUUAUCCGGAUUUAUUGGGUUUAAAGGGUGCGCAGGCGGCCAUUUAAGUCAGCGGUUAAAUCGUGGGGCUCAACCCCAUUCUGCCGUUGAUACUGGGUGGCUUGAUUGCGGUCGAGGUUGGCGGAAUUCGUUGUGUAGCGGUGAAAUGCAUAGAUAUGACGGAGAACACCGAUUGCGUAGGCAGCUGACCAGACCGCAAAUGACGCUCAUGCACGAAAGUGCGGGGAUCGAACAGGAUUAGAUACCCUGGUAGUCCGCACAGUAAACGAUGAAUACUUGUUUUCGGCGAUAUAAUGUCGGAGGCAAAGCGAAAGCGAUAAGUAUUCCACCUGGGGAGUACGCCGGCAACGGUGAGACUCAAAGGAAUUGACGGGG
rnacentral:rRNA from 1 species